CUCGUAUAGAAAUUAUAACUUAUCUUCAAAAGGCUUCUUGUUAAUUUAUUUUUCGAGACCUUAUUACUUUUUGGUUUUACUUUUUUAAUCUUGUUAAAGACCCCAGGAUACAUGUAAUGUGUUUUGUUACGAAUGCCGUCGAGUAUUAAUUUCCAUCCGAUUGAGAAAUCUCCUAAUUUGGUAGAUUUUUCGUCUGGUCUAAUCUAUCAUCUAGGGCGAUUGAUCCGUUGUCGUGUGAAGAACAAAAGUUCAUCUGCCUGGUUUUUAAUUGCGAAGUUGAAUUGUUUAAAUUUUCGUGUCAUGUAUUAAUUGGAACUUUAGAAGAAACUUUUAAAUGUUUUACUUUUUUUUAAAAAUGUUUUAUGCUCUUAUAGUUUAUUGUUUGUAUUUCCCUUCGUCGCCCAUAAUUUUAAAUGUAUUCUAUGAAGUCUAAACUCUUGUUUCAUUUUCCACAAAAUCGAGCUGCCAUUUUUUUUGUUUGUAAUUGAAUUUUCUAUGCUCUUAUAGUUUUUAGCAGCAAGUUUUUUUCUUUGAUCGUAGGUGAUAAAAAUAUAUUUCACUGCGUACUAGUGUUCUCUAACUGAUUCUUCAUUGUUUAAAAAGUUUUUUGAUUUUGGGAUAAAAUAACAUUGGCUAGAUCAUCUCAUCCUCUAGACUAAUAUGGAUCCCCGUUUUGAAUUUAGCAUGUUACUUUCUCAAAUACGUUGUACGUUUUCUGAUGUGUGGUUAGGGAGAAUUUGAUACGAGUAUCUCUGGUGGGCAUUUUAUGUUUAUAAAUUGAAUCGUAUGUUCUUUAAAAUUAUCUUGUGUACUUCGAAAUUCAUCUGAAUAAAUGGGGGUGCUCAGAGUAUACAUGGUAAUUAAAUUUUAAUGUUCUUUGAUUGAAUUAAAUUUUGGGAGUAAUUUUCCGGUUCUUCACUGUAAUAGAUCUGUAAGCUCAAAGAGGUAGAGCGCUCAAUUUCUUCCUAGAAUUUGAGAGGUUGAUGGUUCGAAUCCGUCCAGAUCUUGACUAUUUUGUGUAAUGAAUAGUGAAUUGAAUAUUUGUAUAGUCAUCUUUUCGUUGUGCGUGUGUGUUUCUUUUUUCCUUUUUGUUUUGCAAGAAUUUACUUUUUUUAGACACGAUGGUCAAACAUAAGUCGGAAAACUUCUAAAUCUGCACCUUUUACUGGUCGAUGAUAAUCAAAAUAUGCUUUAAAUUUUAAUUGAAUAAAAAAAAAAUCAAUGCGCGGUGGAAAGGUGAGAUGUAAGGUUUUAGUUUUAAUUGUGUGGAUGGCUGGUUGGCUAUGUAUAGAAUUAUUAUUUUCUACGUGCACUGCAUUACGACCAACUUUGGUUUGUCUUAAAUGACUUUGAAGCAGGCUCUGCAGUUCUCCAAUAUCCAUAACUCCGAAAAGAUUGAUCUUCUUCUAUACGCUGAAGUUGUCCUUUUAUCUUCCCAUGUUCAGAUUUGGAGCCCGACCUCCUUCGACCCCUGGCGAUGCACUCGAGUAAAUGCUCCAACAACAAAGGUAAAGAACUUGUACCAACAAGAAAACUCACGAUCUAAGAUCGAGUGUGGCAAACCACCACACCACCAAGGGAAAAACGUCCAGCUCGAGAGAAGUCAAGAAUGCAGGCUUUAAGAAGACAAACCCUCUAGGAAACUCACCCCAAUGCUCAAAAGGUCUGACACAGCGAAGGAACAGCCCAAGUCCUGUCCCUUGAAGGGGAGGAUAUAGUCUGUAGGCCUUGACCCUACAUAAAUUGGGUAGAAGACAAGAAGCCCAAAAAAUGAAACGGCUCACCACCAAAAAGAAACCCUCCAAUAAAGACACAAUGAUAAGUGUAAUAAAUUUGUUGGAAUUACAUGCCGAAACAAAAUAGAAAUAUUAUUUAUUUAUAUAAAAAUAUUAUCAAUUUGAUAGUAUUUUUAACACAA